rnacentral:sRNA from 1 species
AAUACAGCAUGUACAGAUUUUGGCAGUUGGUCAGAUAAGAUGUGAAGAUAUGCUUUUACUAUGUUUAUCAUUUUACAUAAAACAUCAUGGAUCUUAAGUUCUAUAAAAUCUUAUGGGUUGCUGAUAUGUUGUACUGUUACUGUGGCAAAGAAAAUUAGUCUACUUCUGCUUGUCAAGUUUGAAAUCUUAAAACCCUGCAGUCAACUUCUGAUAAGCCAACGUUUGAUGUUCUUUUCCCCCGUUGAAAUCGACAUUGUUGGAUUAAAAAUUUAAUAACAUAACCAAAUUAAUUUCCACUCUAAUUACCAUAUGUUAUCAUUGCAAUUAAAUGUUUCAUAUACAAAGCGAUCCAAAAUGUUUGAAUUUAGAACUCUUUUCGACGGGAGGUAGAAAUGUGAAUUAAAAGAUGAAACGGAUCAAUCUAUUUAUUAUCUUGUUUUAUAUAAAAGUCUAUGCUAAUUUCCACGAUAAAAUCAAAAUAAAAGAAUCUCAUUUAAGAAGAGCGUUAUAAAUGUAGUGAUAUAGUGAUAUGCAAACUAACAAAACACGAUUAAGAUGUUAUUUUGUUCUUUGACGAGAAUUUCGCCAACCCCCGGUGAAACCCUUGUCUAUCAAAGCGAUCGCGUGAAGACCUUUUGUGGCUUAUCGGGAUUCCUGCCCCGUUCUAAGAUAGCAUUAAGUGUAAUUAAGUAUACACAUGCAGACUUGAAAACAGCAUCUAUUCGCCUUCUAUGAUAGAGUUAUUUCUUUACUGUACGUGAAAAUCGACGAACAAUAAACCGGUGUAUGCCUUUAUUAUCAUAUGAUUCAUGGUUUUUGUUGUUGCAACCAGCAUCCGAUAUAAAAUAUCUACAAGAAAGAGUCGGAAGACUGUUUUAUUUUGGUAUUGAAUGUUUUUAAAUUUCAGGUAAUAAAAAUUUGAAAAUUAUAAAUAAUAAUGGAUGACUAAAUUUUAUUUAAUCAUUAUCGAAUAUUACUAAUUAUAAAAAUAUAAAUUGAAGAGAAAGUUUGAUAAAUGAUUUGGUAAUAAACGAAAAUGUAAAGUUAAGACAGGGGUCUAUUUCUUCUUUUUAUUUGUAAGGUCUUUUUCGUUUAUCAUAUUUUCUUUAAUAAUGGAAUACAACCUUUUCAAAAACAGAGGAUUGGAAAUACAUGUUGAAAUGCAUAUGUUGUUACGUUUUUCGAUUAACGAUUUAUGAAAUUAUUUAAAACAAAUCAUACUUAUGUAUUCAAAAAAUACAAAAAUAUUAUCUUCUUUCAAAACAAUAGUGUGUCAAUUGAUAAAAGUUAGAUAUAUUCAAAAAAUACAAAAAAAAUUAUCUUCUCUCAAAUCAAUGGUGUGUCAAUUGAUAAAAGUAAGAUAAAAUAGGAUUUUCCGGAAAAAAGUCAGCCAUCUGUAGCGAUUUGACCCUAUGAAACUUUUUGUGCACGUAACGUGUGGUUUGAUCAUUUCAUUAAAAUCCAAAAGUCAAAAACUAAAAACUGAAACUAACAUAAGAGCCAUCGAAAGUAAUAAGGAAUGGGGAAAAGGGGGAGAGUGUAUGUAUCGGGGUGUCGUGUUUAUUUCAAUUGGGAUGUUUGUUUCCGUCUCUUAGCGGCAUGUGAGCGUUCCCAGACCACUUAGGAAAUAGAUUUGAUUCACAAGUGCCGAACAAACUGUUUUUUUUUCUAAAACCAAUCGGUACCAAAAAAUGUGCAUUUGAUUAGAAGAUGACAUAUGUUCCCUCUAAUAAAAAUAUUAGAAAAAAGUACUUUCGUAAGAUAUUUUCCGUGUAUUUUCUGUAAGAAGCGCUCAGUCAAAGAAGAACAGACAAUAUACAUCUCCCCUGACAGAAAGGAAAGCAUUUAGCUGGGUACAAAUGUUUCAUAAGCACUUGAGAGAUCACAGUGGGGUCGGGGUGACGCCUGUGUUUGAUUACUAUACAGAGAGAAAUGGUUCUCUCUUGAGAUUUCGACAGCUGACUGCAGGUCGUUUACAAGGAUUCAAAAUGACAGAAAAUGUUACAAGACGCAAAGCUCAAUCAUGCUCUAUUACGACCUACGUGGAUAGUUUUUAAUGAUUUGAUCGGACGAUAAUAAAGAAGCAAUUACCGUUUCUGUAUGAAAUAUAGCGGGAACCUAGCGUGCCCUUCCGGUGAACAAAUUGAAAACCUAACGCAAUUCUUACAAAACGCACACAGAAAGCCAAGUCUUGCUCCACAGUUCCGGCGGAAAAAGGCUACAGAUGCGAUAUAAACCAGUUUCGGGAAUGAAAAUGUUAUCUACUUUGUCAUCAAGAUUACGUUACAUGUUAAAAAAUAUUUUUUUGGCAUGGAGGAAAAAAAUGAACACAAUGUUUUAAAUUUUCUUUUUGUUGGUGUUCUGUGUAGUGAAAGAAAAUAAAAAUAUUUCAUGCA